AUGCCAGACCCCAGGUAUCCCUGCGGCUCAGACAGCAACCAGCACAGCCAUGCCAGCUCCAGGAACCGUGACGCGGCGUUGCUCUCAGAUGCUGCUGACGUUACUGAUGUGGUUGGGGGCACACUGGGGAGCGCCCUGCCUCUGCCCGUGCAGCUGGGGUCUGGCGGCCACCUGCACCUGCGCAGCCCCCCGGGCCGCCCUGCCCGAGGGGCUCCCCGAGGCCUCCAGUCUUUACCGGGCUCUGUUCCGGCUGUCCCCGACGGCUUCAAGGUCGUGGGACAUGACGCGCCCGCUGCGGCGUCAGCUCAGCCUUGCAAGACCCCAGGCGCCCGCGCUGCACCUGCGACUGUUGCCGCCGCCAUCGCCGACCACCUGCGGGCAGAGUCUAGGUCCGUACGGCUCCUGUUGGAGCCUCACUUGCGGGCGCGAGCCGUCGGGGGCGCCGCAGAGCGCGUGCGCGCGACGGGGACCACUGUCCGCUCGGGCCUGGGCACUGCUGCCCGGUCCGGGCGUCGCUGGAAGACCUGGGCUGGGCCGAUUGGGUGCUGUCGCCGCGGGAGGUCCAAGUGAGCAUAUGCAUUGGCUCGUGCUCGAGCCAGUUCCGGGCGGCCAACAUGCACGCGCAGAUCAAGACGAGCCUGCACCGCCUGAAGCCCGCCGCGGUGCCAGCCCCUGCUGCGUGCCAUCCAGCUACAGUCCCUCCAUGGUGCUCCUGCAAAAGACCGACAGCGGGGUGUCGCUCCAGACCUACGACGACCUCUUAGCCAAAGACUGCCACUGCGCAUGAGCAGCCCUGAUCCUCCACUGUGCAGCUGCGCUGGGGCGCGACCUCGGAGGUGGAAUGGGCUCAAGGGUCCUGGGACACCCUAUUCCCGCCCAAACAGCUGUAUUUAUCUAAGUCUGUUAUUUAUUAUUAAUAUAUUGGGGUGAUCUUGCUGGGGACUGGGGGGCUGGUCUGAUAGAACUGUGCAUUUAUUUAAAACUCUGGUGAUAAAAAUAAAGCUGUCUGAAC